CCCCCGCAGGGUGUGGGAAAAUGUUCCAACAUGUUGGAAAAGCCUUCAAUGUUCUGAGUUCACGGCUGUUUGAGUUUGGAAGCAAUAACAAAAUAAUGAACAUUCUGAAUCUCUGGACUGAGUGGUAGGAGAUGUAACAGAAUACAAACCAUACAAUGUACUUAGUCUCUGCUUCACAGAGAGAGAGAGAGAGAGAGAGAGAGAGAGAGAGAGAGAGAGAGAGAAUAACAGAUCACCCAACGUUUUAAUGUCCAUUUGAGAGACAGAAGAUCGACCAAGUACCGAGUCUCACUACAAGAGACUAUUGCAACGCCAAGUUCAGAAUCCCUAUACCAGGGAAAUUACUUCAGCGACAAGGUUUAGCUCUAAUGAGAAAAACCUCUCUUCAGGUUCAUGCAUCUGUGUGUUCCAGAUGAUGAAUCUUGCACCAACAUAACGGAUGUAUAUCUGCAUGUUCCAGAUUGCAAGAACCUUCUCAAUGCUACCAGGGGAUCAGCAUUCCUCAGCUCCUUCGUGUCCAAGGCUGUUAAAACUGAAUCCAGCUCCUUCCCUACUGUAUCGUGGCCCUCAGCCCCAGUGGAAGAAGUCGCUGUUACCGAACUCAUCAAUCGAUCAAGGAGAAUGUCCAUAGCUUGUGAGGAGAAAGGUGGUAACAAUUCUAGGGGCCCAAAGGUCCAGGGGGCCCCACAACAAAUUCAAAACUAGAACCCAGAGCUGAAAAAAGAUAAUCUUGCUACAUUCCACCUCUUCCUCCUGGUGGGAGGCAGUGCUCUGAUUCCAGAGAUGAGCACAUCUUGACUUGCGGCACUGGCCCAUCUGGGUUCAAUAUGCCCCUUGUCACUAUGUCAUUUAUGCCUCAACAAAUCCUUUGAUUUUGGUAAUCACAGACUGGAGCGUCAAUUUUUUUGUUAUUAUUCAUUUAUUUAUUUUUUUAUCAUAAAGGCAAACGAUUGUGCUGUGGUUAAACUACAUGUUUUUUAGUUUCUUUUUAAUACAGCAGCUUGAUAUUGAUAGACAUAAUCAAUUAACAAUUGCUCGAUCAACAUUUGACAGAAUUAAGACCAUCUGUGACCAUUAGAGUUAGCAUUUUUCAUUCUUUGAAAGGUCCAAUGCUUUGCUAUUUAAGUUAUCCUGGAGACAGAAUUCAUCUUUUUAUUCAAAAGAACAGAACAAGUGUCAUCUUAAACAUCGUACACCUUGACUUUAAAUACAUUUGUUGUGUGUUUUCUAAUAUGUGACAGAGAUUGUUCUUAAAUUUCAGGGUAGUGCUAAAGUGCCUCAAAAUGAAAAUUCUUAAAAUAAAUUUGUCUAUGGAACUUCAAACUCGUGACAUCUGUGCCCUUACAGAAUAAGGUUUCAAAUGGAGUUUUAGCUUGGAUUGGAGGCACUAAAGUGAGCAGAAGGGAGACUCAACAGCUGUCAGUGCCCCCCAGGUGAAUGGGACGCCAUUAGCUAAGGGCUGUCUGAGA